rnacentral:rRNA from 1 species
CGUCCUACGGGGCGCAGCAGUGGGGAAUAUUGGGCAAUGGGCGCAAGCCUGACCCAGCAACGCCGCGUGAAGGAAGAAGGUCUUCGGAUCGUAAAGCUCUGUCCUUGAGGAAGAAGGAAGUGACGGUACUCAAGGAGGAAGCCCCGGCUAACUACGUGCCAGCAGCCGCGGUAAUACGUAGGGGGCAAGCGUUAUCCGGAAUUAUUGGGCGUAAAGAGUACGUAGGUGGUUUUGUAAGCGCGGGGUGAAAGGCAGUGGCUUAACCAUUGUAAGCCUUGCGAACUGCAAGACUUGAGUGCAGGAGG